ensembl:rRNA 5S_rRNA 5S ribosomal RNA
UCAUGUACCCAUACUACCUCACACUAUUUGCUUGUCAGUCUUAUAAGAUAAGGUCAGGCCUGGUCAGUAAUUGAAUGGAAGGCCUCUAAGGAAAACCUGGCUGCUGCAGGUA